GACGAAGGAUGCAAGCGUUAUCCGGAUUUAUUGGGUUUAAAGGGAGCGUAGGUGGCCUUAUAAGUCAGCGGUGAAAGACUAGAGCUUAACUCUGGAAUUGCCAUUGAUACUGUAGGGCUUGAGUAUAGUUGCUGUGGGCGGAAUAUGACAUGUAGUGGUGAAAUACUUAGAGAUGUCAUAGAACACCGAUUGCGAAGGCAGCUCACAAAACUAUAACUGACACUGAGGCUCGAAAGUGCGGGGAUCAAACAGGAUUAGAUACCCUGGUAGUCCGCACUGUAAACGAUGAUUACUCGUUGCUGGAAAGCAAUUUUCAGUGACUAAGCGAAAGCGAUAAGUAAUCCACCUGGGGAGUACGCCGGCAACGGUGAA
rnacentral:rRNA from 1 species